AGAGUUUGAUCCUGGCUCAGAGUGAACGCUGGCGGUAGGCCUAACACAUGCAAGUCGAACGGCAGCACAGUAAGAGCUUGCUCUUACGGGUGGCGAGUGGCGGACGGGUGAGGAAUACAUCGGAAUCUACUUUUUCGUGGGGGAUAACGUAGGGAAACUUACGCUAAUACCGCAUACGACCUACGGGUGAAAGCAGGGGAUCUUCGGACCUUGCGCGAUUGAAUGAGCCGAUGUCGGAUUAGCUAGUUGGCGGGGUAAAGGCCCACCAAGGCGACGAUCCGUAGCUGGUCUGAGAGGAUGAUCAGCCACACUGGAACUGAGACACGGUCCAGACUCCUACGGGAGGCAGCAGUGGGGAAUAUUGGACAAUGGGCGCAAGCCUGAUCCAGCCAUACCGCGUGGGUGAAGAAGGCCUUCGGGUUGUAAAGCCCUUUUGUUGGGAAAGAAAUCCAGCUGGUUAAUACCCGGUUGGGAUGACGGUACCCAAAGAAUAAGCACCGGCUAACUUCGUGCCAGCAGCCGCGGUAAUACGAAGGGUGCAAGCGUUACUCGGAAUUACUGGGCGUAAAGCGUGCGUAGGUGGUUGUUUAAGUCUGUUGUGAAAGCCCUGGGCUCAACCUGGGAACUGCAGUGGAAACUGGACGACUAGAGUGUGGUAGAGGGUAGCGGAAUUCCUGGUGUAGCAGUGAAAUGCGUAGAGAUCAGGAGGAACAUCCAUGGCGAAGGCAGCUACCUGGACCAACACUGACACUGAGGCACGAAAGCGUGGGGAGCAAACAGGAUUAGAUACCC
rnacentral:rRNA from 1 species